rnacentral:lncRNA from 1 species
UUCCUUUUGUUUUUCAUGUCACAAGUUUAUGACCUUGAGCAGAAUGUGACUGGGAAUGAAGUUCUCAGUGGGUGUUUUUCCUUGUCUCUUGGCAAGGACCUUGGGAUUAACAUGUUACAUGCUGAGAUGCCAGUAUUUUUCAUUUUCAUAUAGUCCCCACAUUCACAUGAAUGACAUAUCUGUCCAGGAUUGAAGGGAAGGUUGCCUAUGUUGAGCUGCUGGGAGAUGGUGCUGCAUAUUCACCAAGCCUCUUCCUAAUGAGUGGACUCUUAAGGGUUAUUUUGAUCAGAGAUUUUUGUCCUGUUCGGGCUUUAGAACUUAACCUGCCUUCAAGACCUCACUCACUAUAAUCACAGCAAUUUCAACCACCCGAAUCUUUCCCACCAAUUGGUCUAGCUCUGAGUCCAGGUUUGCUUGUUUGUUUUGACAUGGAGUCUCGUUCUGUCACCCAGACUGGAGUCCAGUGGUGCGAUCUUGGCUCACUGCACCCUCGGCCUCCUGGGUUCAUGCACUUCUCCUGCUUCGGCCUCUCACCUCACCAAGUUUGUUUACGUUUACCAAGGGGCUGUAGUGCUGGCUGUAUUUUCUUUACUUUUUUUCUUUUUUCUUUUGAGACGGAGUUUCGCUCUGUCCCCCAGCCUGGAGUGCAGUGGCGCCAUCUCAGCUCACUGUAACCUCCACCUCACAGGUUCAAGCAAUCCUCCUGCCUCAGCCUCCCGAGUAGCUGGGAUUACAGUCACCCACCACCACGCCCGGCUAAUUUUUUUUUUUUUUUUUUUUUUUGUAUUUUCAGUAGAGACGUGGUUUCCUCAUGUUGGGCACGCUGGUCUCGAACUCCUGACCUCAGGUGAUCCGCCUGCCUUGGCCUCCCAAAGUGGUGGGAUUACAGGCGUGAGCCACCACGCCCGGUCAGCAUUUUCUUCUUUUAAACAUGUAGUAUGAAGUCUUUGCCUGUUUGGUGGACCGUGAGUCUGUUCAGUCCUGGCUUACACUGUUUUCCCCCAUGACUGGUUAGUUGGUGAGGAAGGAGCUACUCACUCGUUACUGGGAGUCCAGACACAGCCUGAAACCAGCCUGGAGGGUGAUUUCUCAGCCUAGCUAAUACAUCCGCGCAAGAGAGAUCUUUUUAAGUCACAAAACCCUCCCACGGUUCCGCAAAGCCCUCGGAUGGCCUCCAGCUCCCCAGCCUGGCACACAGCCUUAUUCCUUAGCAGGCCUCCGGACACUGUGACUUUGCGUUCUUGACUGUGAGGCACUGAAAUCUCCCGGCUGCCCGAUUUCCUGCCAGACGCGGAGUUCUCACCGCCAAGCCUUUGACUAAACUGUCGACUGGGUCCCACCCCACUUGCUUUCACUCACCAAGACUCUGCUCAAGUGUCACCUCCUCCGGGGACCCACCAUGACCCUCCCCGACCUCCUCACCCCAAGCCUGGCCGCCGUGUUGCCUUACCCGAUCCCCAAGUCUCGAGGGCGAGUCCAGUCGGGUUCCUGCAAGGCUGGCGCCCAAGCCCCUGCCCUGUGAGACCCACCC